rnacentral:rRNA from 1 species
GACGAACGCUGGCGGCGUGCUUAACACAUGCAAGUCGAACGGAAAGGCCCUGCUUUUGUGGGGUGCUCGAGUGGCGAACGGGUGAGUAACACGUGAGUAACCUGCCCUUGACUUUGGGAUAACUUCAGGAAACUGGGGCUAAUACCUGAUAGGAGCUCCUGCUGCAUGGUGGGGGUUGGAAAGUUUCGGCGGUUGGGGAUGGACUCGCGGCUUAUCAGCUUGUUGGUGGGGUAGUGGCUUACCAAGGCUUUGACGGGUAGCCGGCCUGAGAGGGUGACCGGCCACAUUGGGACUGAGAUACGGCCCAGACUCCUACGGGAGGCAGCAGUGGGGAAUAUUGCACAAUGGGCGGAAGCCUGAUGCAGCAGCGCCGCGUGCGGGAUGACGGCCUUCGGGUUGUAAACCGCUUUCGCCUGUGACGAAGCGUGAGUGACGGUAAUGGGUAAAGAAGCACCGGCUAACUACGUG